GUCUCACCAUGGUCAAAGUAGCAAGGCCGGUCAGUCUGAGGCGAACCACCCGAAGACACGAUCUGAUAGGGGGACAACCAAACAGGAGGGGACUACCUCCACCGUCCAAGACGGUCGCCGUCCGGACACGACGACGAGAGCACACCGAGCCAUUGGAACCGAAGGGCAGCAGCAGCGCAGCCACCCGGAGGGCGUCCUCCACCGCCAUCGGUG
rnacentral:lncRNA from 1 species